AGAUUGAACGCUGGCGGAAUGCUUUACACAUGCAAGUCGAGCGGCAGCGCGGUCUUCGGACUGGCGGCGAGCGGCGAACGGGUGAGUAAUACAUCGGAACAUGCCCAGUCGUGGGGGAUAACACUUCGAAAGAAGUGCUAAUACCGCAUACGUCCUGAGGGAGAAAGCGGGGGAUCGCAAGACCUCGCGCGAUUGGAGUGGCCGAUGUCAGAUUAGCUAGUUGGUGGGGUAAAGGCCUACCAAGGCAACGAUCUGUAGCUGGUCUGAGAGGAUGAUCAGCCACACUGGGACUGAGACACGGCCCAGACUCCUACGGGAGGCAGCAGUGGGGAAUUUUGGACAAUGGGGGCAACCCUGAUCCAGCCAUUCCGCGUGAGUGAAGAAGGCCUUCGGGUUGUAAAGCUCUUUCGGCAGGAACGAAACGGCGAGCUCUAACAUAGCUCGCUAAUGACGGUACCUGAAGAAGAAGCACCGGCUAACUACGUGCCAGCAGCCGCGGUAAUACGUAGGGUGCGAGCGUUAAUCGGAAUUACUGGGCGUAAAGCGUGCGCAGGCGGUUGUGUAAGACAGGUGUGAAAUCCCCGGGCUUAACCUGGGAACUGCGCUUGUGACUGCACGGCUAGAGUAUGGCAGAGGGGGGUGGAAUUCCACGUGUAGCAGUGAAAUGCGUAGAGAUGUGGAGGA
rnacentral:rRNA from 1 species